AGAAAACGGGAUUGGGUUUGUUUACAUGUCAGUCUGGCCUUGAGUAGUGGAGGAUGAGGCUGUGUUAUGGGGCCUUCUCGCCCUUUAAGGGCCCUGAAGAUUCUCUGGAUUAUUUACAGCAUGCUGGAAGAACCUCUGAGUAUACAUAGAAGCCAAAGAUUUGCAGCUGUCAUGUCAGUCAUGGAACUUCAUACGAGGACACCUCACCUAACAUGAGAACCUCAGCAUGUACAACCAGGGUCAUGAAGCGGCAGUUUGACCAUCUGAGAGGUCCAGCCACUCGCCCAGCAAUGUUGUGGUGAACUGAUGUUUCAAGAUGCCAUCACUGAAGACUAUAAGGGCAGAGUAACAAGGACAGCCACCUGUAAAAAAUAAAAAUAUUACUCAGG